GCACGACAGAGUUUAACAAGAUUACCCAGACCUUCCGGCCAAGGUAAAGAACUCGUUGGCUCUGUCAGUGUAGCGCGCGUGCGGCCCAGAACAUCUAAGGGCAUCACAGACCUGUUAUUGCCUCAAACUUCCAUCGGUUUAGAACCCGAUAGUCCCUCUAAGAAGCCCGCGACCGGCAAAAGCUGGCCUGGCUAUUUAGCAGGUUAAGGUCUCGUUCGUUAUCGCAAUUAAGCAGACAAAUCACUCCACCAACUAAGAACGGCCAUGCACCACCACCCACAUGAUCAAGAAAGAGCUCUCAAUCUGUCAAUCCUUAAUGUGUCUGGACCUGGUGAGUUUCCCCGUGUUGGGUCAAAUUAAGCCGCAGGCUCCACUCCUGGUGGUGCCCUUCCGUCAAUUCCUUUAAGUUUCAGCCUUUGCGACCAUACUCCCCCCAGAACCCCAAAGACCUUUGAUUUCUCGUAAGGUGCCGAACGGGUCAAAAAGAAGCCCGUCCGAUCCCCUAAGUCGGCAUAGUUUAUGGUUUAAGACUUACGAC
rnacentral:rRNA from 1 species